rnacentral:rRNA from 1 species
AUUGAACGCUGGCGGCAGGCCUAACACAUGCAAGUCGAACGCGUGGCGGACGGGUGAGUAAUGUCUGGGAAACUGCCUGAAGGAGGGGGAAAAAUACUGGAAACGGUAGAUAAUACCGAAUCCCAUCCGAUGUGCCAAGAUGGGAGUAGCUAGUUGGUGGGGUAACGGGUAACCAAGGCGACGAUCCCUAGCUGGUCUGAGAGGAUGACCAGCCACACUGGAACUGAGACACGGUCCAGACUCCGACGGGAGGCAGCAGUGGGGAAUAUUGCACAAUGGGCGAAAGCCUGAUACAGCCAUGCCGCGUGUAUGAAGAAGGCCUUCGGGUUGUAAAGUUCUUUCAGCGGGGAGGCGUUACCCGCACAGGAAGCAACGGCUAACUCCGUGCCAGCAGCCGCGGUAAUUC